AGAAAGGCAGAGAGCGAGAGAGAUCGAUGGGAAUCAAGGAAAAAGAGAGAAGGAACCACCGUCACCGGCCAUGGAUCGAGAGAGGAGGGAGAGAACCACGAGAGAGCGAACGAGAGAGAACUUUUGGCCUAUGCUAUACUAAACGGACCCUAAUAAUCCACGCUAGGCUGCAAACCGGUUUGUGACAGGACAGCAAAAUUGCCGGUUCG
rnacentral:lncRNA from 1 species